rnacentral:rRNA from 1 species
AGUGAACGCUGGCGGUAGGCCUAACACAUGCAAGUCGAACGGCAGCACAGUAAGAGCUUGCUCUUACGGGUGGCGAGUGGCGGACGGGUGAGGAAUACAUCGGAAUCUACUUUUUCGUGGGGGAUAACGUAGGGAAACUUGCGCUAAUACCGCAUACGACCUACGGGUGAAAGCAGGGGAUCUUCGGACCUUGCGCGAUUGAAUGAGCCGAUGUCGGAUUAGCUAGUUGGCGGGGUAAAGGCCCACCAAGGCGACGAUCCGUAGCUGGUCUGAGAGGAUGAUCAGCCACACUGGACCUGAGACACGGUCCAGACUCCUACGGGAGGCAGCAGUGGGGAAUAUUGGACAAUGGGCGCAAGCCUGAUCCAGCCAUACCGCGUGGGUGAAGAAGGCCUUCGGGUUGUAAAGCCCUUUUGUUGGGAAAGAAAAGCAGCAGGUUAAUACCCCGCUGUUCUGACGGUACCCAAAGAAUAAGCACCGGCUAACUUCGUGC